rnacentral:lncRNA from 1 species
AUGCUUCAGCUACAAGAAGAGCGACAACAAACGUUAAUAUUAACUAAAGUUUUUUGGAGCGGUGGAUUUUACCGACCUGAGGCCUGCUGGAGCACGUUAUUUCGAAAAGAAAAGCAGAGGCUUCACUCGCACGAGAAGACAAACGCCAAAGUCCGCUUGCCACUGAUGGGCAUAUUUACUAAAGGCAACAAGCUGGCCUAGCGGGGCAGUGAAAGCGCACACGUACGUGUGCACAACACAAUGGUACUCACACAAUCACACCCUGCAUACAUGUGUACGCGCGGGCUUAGAUACACACACACACACACACACACACACACACAGAACACACUAUUUUUUGUUUGAUGUUUGCCAAUCAUCCAAGAUCCCUUACAGCUUGCCCUGCCUCCUACCAAAUAACAGUGUUCAUUAAUUAAAAAAGAAAAGGCAGUGUUAUUAUAAUUCUCUUUGCUUGCCCCUUGAUGUAAUGGAGGGGGUGUGUGGUGUUUUGUGGCUCUUCGAGAGUUUGCUUUCAUCAUCGUCUGAGAUUCCCCAUGGCUUUGCCUCACUGCCAUCAAACUCUCUUUCCUUCUUUUUGUCUUUUCAUCCAAUGAGAUGAAGUUUGGAAAAGUUGCUCUAGCCCAACGGGAUCCUUUUUAGCAGUUAAUGCCCUUCCCAGCUGGCGGGCAACUAACAGCCCACUAGCAGGCCACUGGUGGCAAAGUCGGACAAUGUUAUUAGCUUGCCAGCUUUUUUUGCGAGCCUAUAGCUGAUGGCUUGAAAUCGGUGUUGGCUUAAAGCAGCCAAACGCUCAAUGAAUGUUUGCUGCCUAGGUCAGCUCUGUUGACUUGUUUGUUUGCACAUGCAAGGUUUUUGAGAGGUUAUAGAUAAUAUAUACACACAGUUUAACUUUAAAAACUGCGCAACUAGGCCAGAUGCACCAGCAAUUAAAUAAAAAAGUGUUUAGGUUUUACAGUGCGUUCUCUGAACUUAAAUCAGUUACAGGCAAAUGCUUAAAGUCAGUGUCCAAAAAUGGACUUCAUAUACUAUAAUUCAUAUCUGUUUGUGUUUGUGACAACUGUCGGGCCUUAAGAGACAGGAGACUAGUAGAAGACAAAUUGAAGUACAAUCAGAAGGACGUGCAGACUGGAAAGAAUAACACUGAUACAGCAACAGGACAAGCAGACAUGUCCAAAAAGGCUGAUGAGAAGAGGAAGGAAAACGAGUGAGAAAAUGGAGCAUGCAGCUGCACUUUGUUUGCAAGGGCUAAACUUAUUAGUCUGUUCUUAAUGCCUCUCAGUGCAGAUAGCAUUAAGAAAUACACGGUAAUGAUGAUUUGUGUUCUCCUCAGCCAACAGAGGGAGAGGAUUCCACUUAUUCCACAUGAGUGUUAUAAUUGGCACCUUAUUGCAUUAGGGUAGAAUGCACUGUGUGAUUUCCUGGGUGUCAUUUUUGACUAAUGGAUCCUUAAGAAUAGUAAUCUAAUCGCUGUCAUUAUUUCAUCUCCGUUGCUUUCAGAAAAAGCUGCCUUCAUUCAGGGUGGGGGCGGAGGGGGGGAGUUUUAGCUGUGGAUGUGUUGGGGCAUGUUGCAAAUUAAUCUGCACACCUUGUAAACAGAAAGAGAGCAAACAGAAAUCAAUUUGGCUGAGUGAGGAACUCCACUCUCAGGGCUUUUAGUAUCUGCAUUAAGCCCAAGUUGUUUGGGCUUUAGUCAUUUUUUUUCUUUCUGUUUUUGGCAGACGUAGACAAUUUUGUCAAAUCAGCCCAUUUAUGUUACUUGUCAACAUGGUAUGUUAUUUCCUGUCUCAAAUCGAAUCCCGUAUCUAAUUGUA